CCCAUUUUUCUGCCUUCCGGACAUGGUCAAUAUGUCCGUUGUCGCCUAUUCUCAAGUGUUUUCUC
ensembl:ncRNA R03D7.13 ncRNA